UCAGCACUCCACCUGGUCCUGACGUAUCUGUCCUCACAGGGAGGGAGGACAGCUCUGUGCUCAGGCACUGGGCACACCCCCUCGGAAGAGGACUGAAGGAUGGGGCCUCACAGCAAGGGGCCUGGGGACGCUGGAGACAGCAGAAGCUCCAGACAGAAAGGAGCAGGAAUGCCCAAACAUGGAGAAGGGGAGAAGACUGGACAGAGCACAGCUUCAAGAGAGUGGAGAGCAUGCGGCUGAGGAAAGGAGGCAGGCUUUACAGGAUGCUGCUGCCAACAGGGCCCUUUAAGGAUAGGAAGCCUUCACUGAAGAAUUCGGAGCAGGAAAGGUCCUUGGAAAUUGUCAAUACUGCU